UACGUAGGGACCAAGCGUUGUUCGGAUUUACUGGGCGUAAAGGGCGCGUAGGCGGCAAUUCAAGUCAGCUGUGAAAUCCCCGGGCUUAACUCGGAACGGUCAGAUGAUACUGCUUUGCUCGAGUGCGGAAGGGGCAAUCGGAAUUCUUGGUGUAGCGGUGAAAUGCGUAGAUAUCAAGAGGAACACCUGAGGUGAAGACGGGUUGCUGGGCCGACACUGACGCUGAAGCGCGAAAGCCAGGGGAGCAAACGGG
rnacentral:rRNA from 1 species